rnacentral:rRNA from 1 species
AUUGAACGCUGGCGGCAGGCCUAACACAUGCAAGUCGAACGGUAACAGGGAUCAGCUUGCUGAUUCGCUGACGAGUGGCGGACGGGUGAGUAAUGUCUGGGAAACUGCCUGAUGGAGGGGGAUAACUACUGGAAACGGUAGCUAAUACCGCAUAACGUCGCAAGACCAAAGAGGGGGACCUUCGGGCCUCUUGCCAUCGGAUGUGCCCAGAUGGGAUUAGCUAGUAGGUGGGGUAACGGCUCACCUAGGCGACGAUCCCUAGCUGGUCUGAGAGGAUGACCAGCCACACUGGAACUGAGACACGGUCCAGACUCCUACGGGAGGCAGCAGUGGGGAAUAUUGCACAAUGGGCGCAAGCCUGAUGCAGCCAUGCCGCGUGUAUGAAGAAGGCCUUCGGGUUGUAAAGUUCUUUCAGCGGGGAGGAAGGGAGUAAAGUUAAUACCUUUGCUCAUUGACGUUACCCGCAGAAGAAGCACCGGCUAACUCCGUG